rnacentral:rRNA from 1 species
GACGAACGCUGGCGGCGUGCUUAACACAUGCAAGUCGAACGGACAGGCGCUGCAUUUGUGGGGUGCUCGAGUGCCGAACGGGUGAGUAACACGUGAGUAUCAUGCCCCUGACUUUGGGAUAACUUCAGGAAACUGGGGCUCAUACCGGAUAGGAGCUCCUGCUGCAUGGUGGGGGUUGGAAAGAUUCGGCGGUUGGGGCUGGAUUCGCGGCUUAUCCGCUAGUUGGGGGGGUUGUGGCUUACCAAGGCUGUGAAGGGUAGCCGGCCUGAGAGGGGGGCCGGCCACAAGGGGACUGAGAGACGCAGCAGACGGCUACGGGACGCAGCAGGGGGGAGUAUUGCACAAUGGGGGGGAGUCUGAUGCAGAGGCGCCGCGUUCGUGAUGACGGGCUUCGGGGGGUGAACCGCUGUCGACGGAGACGAAGCGGGAGUGACGGUAACGGGUAAAGAAGCACCGGCUAACUACGUG